AGGGGUAUAGCUCAGUGGUAGAGCACAUGCAUUGCAUGUAUGUGGCCUUGGGUUUGAUUCCCAGCACUA
rnacentral:tRNA from 1 species